ACAUACGACCAUAGACUCAAUAGAACUGGGCAUCCCGUCCGCUCUGCCAUACAUAACCUUGAGAUCGGUGGAUUAGUAGUUGGGUGGGUGACCACCAGCGAAUACCCACUGUUGUAUGUU
rnacentral:rRNA from 1 species